rnacentral:rRNA from 1 species
GUAGGGAAUCUUCCACAAUGGACGCAAGUCUGAUGGAGCAACGCCGCGUGAGUGAAGAAGGUUUUCGGAUCGUAAAGCUCUGUUGUUGGUGAAGAAGGAUAGAGGUAGUAACUGGCCUUUAUUUGACGGUAAUCAACCAGAAAGUCACGGCUAACUACGUGCCAGCAGCCGCGGUAAUACGUAGGUGGCAAGCGUUGUCCGGAUUUAUUGGGCGUAAAGCGAGCGCAGGCGGAAGAAUAAGUCUGAUGUGAAAGCCCUCGGCUUAACCGAGGAACUGCAUCGGAAACUGUUUUUCUUGAGUGCAGAAGAGGAGAGUGGAACUCCAUGUGUAGCGGUGGAAUGCGUAGAUAUAUGGAAGAACACCAGUGGCGAAGGCGGCUCUCUGGUCUGCAACUGACGCUGAGGCUCGAAAGCAUGGGUAGCGAACAGGAUUAGAAACCCUAGUAGUCC